GGGGGCGACCUGGCUUCGACAGGGGUUGCAAAGCAGCGCAGGGCAUACCGAGGGCUGGUCACCUCGUAAAUCCAACCGGAAAUGCUUAAAUGCAAACGAAGAUAUGUACGCAACGGCUGCUGCCGCCUAAUUGGCAUAAGCUAAUGUGUAUACCCCUAGUGGCUUAAUAACCCGCUAGCUCUGCACCAUCAGGUCUCUGGGGUGGGUUGGCAACAACGGCAGAGUCAUUUACAGGGAAUCGCGACAUGUCGGGUUACUUGGCAUGAAGUUAAAUUUAGGUGACUCGUCCAGCCGCAGCGUGCCUGUCCGCGGCGUCUGGGUUAAAACAAAUGGCAAGGCUAAGUAUGUAGAACUGUCUGUAGAGUACUUCUGGACGCGGGUUCGAUUCCCGCCGCCUCCACCA
rnacentral:tmRNA from 1 species